AGCGCUUGUAUGUGUCUUUGUUGAAUUGACGGACAAAGAUUUAAAGACAGGUGCAAAAAUAAGUCCUUUAUUGCAACCCAGAGCUCAUUGUUAAGUAUAAGUUUUGAUACAUAUAAGAUGAAAUAUA
ensembl:snoRNA